ensembl:lncRNA
ACAGACAUGUAUGACAACACAGCAGGCAAUGUGACCCUUACGCUGGGUAUAGAUCCAGAAGAGCUGGAGGAGCUGCUCUGGUUUUUCCGCAGAGAAGACUCGUCAACGUGGAAUUACUCCGUUCUUGCACUUUCCUUCGUGGCCAUGAUUUUGGGUCUUCUUCUUCUGGCUAUUAACAUUGUGCGAAACAGGAAAAGGAAGAUCCACAUGUAUAGAGAAGUAGAAACCAUGCAGCAGGCUGAGCUGGAAGCCAAGCAAACCCUGAUGCCUGUGCAGGAAUACAGCCCGGCUGAACCAGGAGAGCAGGAGGUGGUGCCCCAGGAUCAGAGACCAGGAGAAGUGGUGGUCCAGUGGAAGGAUGGAACUGUCACGUCUCUGUACACAGAGAGGUCUGAGGAUGCCAUGUAACAUCAGCUGAAGUCAAAACAUUUAGGCCUUAAGGAAUAUAUCAGAAUGUCUUGAUUCAUAGUGAUGGACAUUUAAAAUCGCAGUUUAACCUGGGGAAACAGAAGAGAGAAGGGAGAGAAAGCAGCAGAACUGCACCAGCAGAAGUGGCUCUGGACUAGAGGCAAGCCUGUGCCUCCUCCGUUUCAGCUCCCAGCUGGCUGGUCUUUACCCGCUGCGCUUGGCUGCCUCCAGCCUUCUCUCCCCCACCAGCUUUACCCCCUUCUUCAGAUGCUGCCUGCCCCCCCCUGCCGCAAACGGGUGGGAGCCAAGCCAGGGCGGGAGGUGGGAGGCUUCUCCUGCGGUCAGCCAGGGAACGCGCUGUCAUGUCCCGUCAGGAAAACAGCUGCACUGAAGCGGAGGCACUUUUGUUCUUGUCAGAAAUCAUCUUUAUUAAAAUAUUUUCCAAAGUGGGUGAUCAAAAUCCCAUAUUGAAUCUCUCUCGCCAUCAGUAAGGUCAUAUAUAUAUAUAUAUAUAUGUACAAAUAUACACGUGGAUAUUUUACUCUGCAGAGUAACUGCAACUCCAGGGAGAAGCCGAACAUUUAACCUGAUACAGCAAAUGAAACUGAACGCACAGCCCUUGGCCCAGGCUUGGGCACGGGUAGAGCCUGGUCACCUGUAGGAUUCACUUCACGCUCUUCACCAGGCACAUGUAGAAGCCAUGAAAUAAUUUAAGACAUUUUUGGAAAUACGUCAGUCUUUUAAACAAAGGCUUUCAGAGCGUGUCCCCGUCAGUGAAGCAUCUCCUUGCAAAGCCUUCGAAAAAGAACACUAUAGUGUAAAAAGUUGAUUAAAAACCCAGCUAUUUUGGUAUGACUUAUUUCGAUGCAUGGGAAUCACUUUCAGGACACCUGAGGCCUUUAGUCAGCUGAAACAAUAUCUGCACCUUUCUCCUUUGGAUUAAAAAAAAAAUAAAUUCCUCCUACUUAUUGCUCGGACAGGAGAGCCGUGAGAUAAACGAGAUGGGUGCCUCCGUGCUUGAUUAACAAUAAGCUCCCCCUUCCCAGCCACCCAUCGCUGUGUGCCAGGCACCCAAGCCGGUUGGGGGGCCCUGGGAACAGCCCUCACCCUCCAGGUGGUGCCCACGGUUCCGGCUGCUCUGGGAGCUGCCCGGAUAAGCACGGAAAGCCGGGCUGGCCCCCGCUGCCGGCGACAGGACAGGGUGCAAACACCGAAGCAGGGCUUGGCCAUGGGGGAUGAGAGCCGGGGCAAGGGCAGGCAGAAUGAUGCCACAGCUGAUCUCGGACUCUCGGCACCCUGUCUGCUCACCACAUUGCCAUCACGUGCUUCACCCCGGCAUGGAGACCGGGGCCAC